rnacentral:rRNA from 1 species
UACAGAGGUCUCAAGCGUUGUUCGGAUUCAUUGGGCGUAAAGGGUGCGUAGGCGGCGCGGUAAGUCGGGUGUGAAAUCUCGGAGCUUAACUCCGAAACUGCAUUCGAUACUGCCGUGCUUGAGGACUGGAGAGGAGACUGGAAUUUACGGUGUAGCGGUGAAAUGCGUAGAUAUCGUAAGGAAGACCAGGGGCGAAGGCGGGUCUCUGGACAGUUCCUGACGCUGAGGCACGAAGGUCAGGGGAGCAAACGGG